rnacentral:tRNA from 1 species
ACGAGCAGCUCAGUUGGCAGGGCAUCUGCCCGGUAAGCGGAAUGCCGUCGGUUAGAUUCCGGCUCGCG